rnacentral:rRNA from 1 species
UACGAAGGGGGCUAGCGUUGUUCGGAAUUACUGGGCGUAAAGGGCGCGUAGGCGGCCCCGCGCGUCGAGCGUGAAAGGCCUGGGCUCAACCCAGGAAUGGCGCUCGAUACGGCAGGGCUAGAGUGCAGGAGAGGAUGGUGGAAUUCCCAGUGUAGAGGUGAAAUUCGUAGAUAUUGGGAAGAACACCGGUGGCGAAGGCGGCCAUCUGGACUGCAACUGACGCUGAGGCGCGAAAGCGUGGGGAGCAAAC